GCCAGAGCUCAGUGAGGGUCCAGGAAAGCAGACAAAAGAAUCUUUAUCUCCUGCCAUUGGACAGUGGAGGCACUGAACUUUCCAGUAGGGGAGCUACAUGAUCAGAGGCAUUUCAGAAAUUUUAAUCUCACACUGAAGUGCUAGACAUAUUGGAAGCAGGAGGAAAAACAGGAAGCAGCAGGGAGGCUGGAAAGGAAACGGAGUUCAUGAGCCAGAAGCAGGGUCAGGACCAGGGUCCUCAUGCUGAAUUCAGCUUCAGGGCUGGGUAGAAGACUGGGAUGAAGUUGCUCCUCAUCUCUCUGUCCUGGCUAUGAGCAGGCAACACCUGGGUCAG
rnacentral:lncRNA from 1 species